rnacentral:lncRNA from 1 species
CAAAAAAUGUAGUAAAAUGCCUGCGUGUAAAUAAGGGUUGUGUAGUUAAUUUAAUGUAAUUUUACACAGUUCUGAUAGAACUCCUCUUCGCAUUUUUGCCUAACACCUAUUACACUCAAAUUGUGUAAUAUUAACGACAUUCUCAUUCAAUAUCGCAUAUGCGUGUUGCCUCAAAGUUGCUGUCAAAGUUUUCCUCCAUCCGCGACAAAUUAAAACAAAACAAAAGUAAUUUUCAGUUUGAAGCGACGAAAUUGUGCGAAUUCCGUGGCCAAGAGCUUCCGUUUAAGAUGUCCCCGUGGUGUUGGAGCCUGCAGAAACCGUCAGUCAUGUUACCGUACCACCAGGUCAACCUCGGCGAUCAAUAAUAACGGUUCCUUCAACGCCCUCGCCAAGAGUCGAAGCAACUCAGGCGAUGAGCUGACUUCAGCGCUAUCGAUUCUAUCACGGAAGCAAGGUGCCAUUUGACCGCGCUGAAAUAUUUGUACGACGAUUCGAACGAUAGCCAGACUACUCGCUUAAAACGACUUGUCCGCGGUCAUGGUACCAAUCAAUUGGGCACGAUCUUGGCGUACGUCGCGAAACCUAAUGAGUGUUUAAAGCAGCUGGUUCGAUCACCUGUUCUGGUGUGUGUCUUUUCCGUGGGCAUCGUCGAACACCCAGCAGCUAAAGGACUCGGAUGACCGGCACACCUUCAGUCGCUGGACUUUACGUGAACAUCCACGCACGCCGUGAUCAAUGCUACGACGGCUGCAGCUGCAAACGCUGUCCGGAAGUGAUCCAUCGAAGCGGGGAGUUACGGGAGACCGAGAAUGGUGGCCGUUUGGCGAGUCCGCUGUGUAUUUCUUUUACGCCUAGCUGAUUUCCAAACUGGUAGCGAGACGAUUCGUGUGCAGAGACUAUGUUCCGACAGGUGAACCACUUGGGUCGUGAAUAUCUAGGAAUGGUAUGUUUAGUUCGAAAAAGUCGCUGUUCUUGAAGUUGAUUCGUUGAUGAAAUAUGCAGCAGCUGCGGUUGCAAAUGCAGUUGGCGCUGCAACCGGAAUGGAUCGCUACCUUCUGCUGCGUACUCUCGGUUCAUCCAACAAACGGGCAACGGCGUGUUUGUGUUCGGCAAUUACAUCAUCAUCCAGAUCCAGAAGUACUUCGAGUUUGAACAGAAGCAAGCUUUUGCCCACUUGCUGUCCUUGCUCCCCCGAAAGCUUUCCAGCCGAGCAGCUGCGGCAAAUCGUCCGCAAGAUGGACGGCCAGUUGCUCAAAUGAGACAAGGACCAGAUUCACGCGUGGAGCAAAAGAAAAUUGGGUGUGUUGACCCGUUCGUGCUGCAGUGAAUCAUCGACGCAAUGUGGGCACAUAUCUGUAUGGCUGCGGAUACAGGAACACUGACCGCAGGCUAAUUCUGGGCAAAAGCCCCCACCGAGCAACCCGUUCAUGGACAGUAUAGAACCUAAGUUAUUCAGCAUGAUUAAAUGCACGAAAAUCCGGAGGACAACUCCGUGCUGUUUGCUGCCGUCCGGGCAAGGUUCUAACAGCCACAAUUCUGCAGGGUUACAGGAAAACCGUGCAAACGGAUGUUCGAGCUGGCCGCCCAAAACUAUCAAAAACCCGUACACCCUCUGGAAGCUGACCGAUCGAUCCGGCACAGCACUAAGUUCCCAAGCUGACCGCCUGAAAGUGCAUCGGAGAUCCGGAAAGCGUUGAUGAUCCGGCUAACAUUGAAGCGCUGAAGGUUCGUUCACAAUUAUGCAAACGACCUCAUUGCGAUUAAAUUCUGGACACAUUCAUCGAAAUGUAACAAGCCACUCAUUAAGUACAAGUGUCUAAGGUAAAAUUAUUCGAUAAGCAAUAAAUCAGAUUGAGAAAAAUAUUUAGUUUGUUUAUAUUUGAUUUGACGUUUUUAGGCAAAAACCAAUUCGAUAUCUAUCCCUGGUCCAAAAAAUAGGCUUUGUGUAAUAUUACACAUUUUUU